rnacentral:piRNA from 1 species
UCUCUCCCCUAUGUGUGAUGCAUGGUGUCU